UGAGGAUUCAGAUGGCUUUAGUAGAAGCCGGGCGCGCCCAGGCCUUUUGUCGUGCUUCUUUUUGCGUGGAACAUAGCCGAAGUCCUAAGGGACUCGAGGGAAGAAAAGCUCCAGUCGGAUGGAGGAGAGCAGCAUUCGGCUACCAACACUAGGCUCUCGGCUUUCUUGCUCCAGGAGUUCCGAAUCCCUGGCUUCCUCCUACUUUCUUAUUCGGACGGAAAGCCUAGGGUCGAGACCCCCUCUUCCGCCUCCUGGCAUUCGCACUCUUCUCUCUCGCCCCCUCUCCGUCUCCUUGAGAUCGGACAGACCCAACGCCCCAACCCCUCUUCUUGUUCGGGUGACCUAGCUGAAGUCGAAGCUCCUCCGCCCGAUGCCGUCCUGCUCAAGCUGCCAUUCCCUUAUCCCUUUGCAAGAUAUCAUUUGUUCGAACAGGCUCGGAUUUAUAGAUUUUUGUUGAAAACAAAGAAGCAAAAUGGUAACAAUAAGAGAGGUCUAUAUGAUAAUGAUGAUCCAGUAGCUAAAGAAGAAAGUCUCUUGAGGAAAAAGGUAUAAGAUUUGAUGAAGAAACAAAAGCUGCCCCAAUUAAGGAGUAUAGUUAAAGGGCAGGAUAAAACUAGGCCAUGGGGUCAGGAUGCUCUAGGAAAGGUGGGGAGCCGCUUGAUUGAACUAUUAAUUGACACAGCUUAUAUACAACCCCCAGUUAAUCAGCUAAUAGAUGGUCCACCUGAUAUCCGUUCUGCAUUUAGACAUUCGCUCAAAACUUUGACAAAAGAACUUUGUGAAUUUAGGUGGGGAGCCUCUGGUUUGUCAAGGGCUAGAGAGAACGGCUAGGCACAUGGUCAUCCCGUACAUGCCUAUGUUGAUACCUCCUAUGGAUUGGACAGGGUAGGAUCCAAAUCUUCAUUAUGAGCAAUUACGUCCUGCAUUUAGAUAUGAAGCUUGGCGAUGAGAUUAAGUAGCU